AAUAGAUACCCGGGUAGUCCACGCCGUAAACGAUGAGUGCUAAGUGUUAGGGGGUUUCCGCCCCUUAGUGCUGCAGCUAACGCAUUAAGCACUCCGCCUGGGGAGUACGGUCGCAAGACUGAAACUCAAAGGAAUUGACGGGGGCCCGCACAAGCGGUGGAGCAUGUGGUUUAAUUCGAAGCAACGCGAAGAACCUUACCAGGUCUUGACAUCCCAUUGGCCACUAUGGAGACAUAGUUUUCCCUUCGGGGACAACGGUGACAGGUGGUGCAUGGUUGUCGUCAGCUCGUGUCGUGAGAUGUUGGGUUAAGUCCCGCAACGAGCGCAACCCUUGUUCUUAGUUGCCAUCAUUUAGUUGGGCACUCUAAGGAGACUGCCGGUGACAAACCGGAGGAAGGUGGGGAUGACGUCAAAUCAUCAUGCCCCUUAUGACCUGGGCUACACACGUGCUACAAUGGACGGUACAAACGGUUGCCAACCCGCGAGGGGGAGCUAAUCCGAUAAAACCGUUCUCAGUUCGGAUUGUAGGCUGCAACUCGCCUACGUGAAGCCGG
rnacentral:rRNA from 1 species